UUCAUUGCCUUAUUGGGAGGUGCACAAGCUAUUGUUUUAUGUAACAUAGACUCAGGUAAACUAAACUUGUGUCGUGCUGCAGUUACUGGUAAAAACCCUCCACCACCAGAUGAACAAUGUUGUGGAGUUAUUCGCCAAGCCAAUUUACCUUGCCUUUGCAGUUACAAGUCUAUGCUACCUUUAUUUGGUAUAAACGCCAAAAAAGCCUUGGCCUUGCCGGGUAAAUGUGGUUUGCAAUCACCUUCUAAUUGCUGAGGUAAAACAUCUUUUGCCAGAAUAUGCCUUGAACACAAAUUAAUUACUUUCGGGGUGAUCAUAAUGGGUUUAAAUAUGAUGUUAUUCCAUUUGAAAUUUUGUCAGAUAUCAUUUUUUCCCAAUUUGAUCAAUACAUGACAAAUAAGGGAUAUAUGAACAUCGUUGUUUGUUUUGGUUAUACUUGACAAGAUAAUUUUUCGUUUUGAAGGCCA
rnacentral:lncRNA from 1 species